UACUGGAUGGCCGAUGGGCCCUGUGGGUUACUGACGUCAGCCAAACUCCGAAUGCCAUUAGGUGUAGCGUGGCAGUGAGACUGCGGGGGAUAAGCUUCGUAGUCGAGAGGGAAACAGCCCAGAUCAUCAGCUAAGGCCCCUAAGCGUACGCUAAGUGGGAAAGGAUGUGGAGUCGCGGUGACAACCAGGAGGUUGGCUUAGAAGCAGCCAUCCUUGAAAGAGUGCGUAAUAGCUCACUGGUCAAGUGGUUCUGCGCCGACAAUGUAGCGGGGCUCAAGCGUACCGCCGAAGCUGUGGCAGCAACACGCGUGCUGGCGCCAGGAACUGGUUGUUGGUGUGUUGUUGGGUAGGGGAGCGUCCUGCAUGAGGUGAAGCCUGGAGGUAACUUCUGGUGGAUUGUGUGGGAGUGAGAAUGCAGGCAUGAGUAACGAAUCUGCGGUGAGAAUCCGCAGCGCCGAUUGACUAAGGGUUCCAGGGCUAGGUUUAUCCGCCCUGGGUUAGUCGGGUCCUAAGGCGAGGCCGACAGGCGUAGUCGAUGGACAACCAGUUGAUAUUCUGGUACCGCGUUGUGACCGUCCAUGCUGAAGUCAUUGUGCUAACCAAUUUGCUCACGCCACCACGUAACCUUCGGGUUUGUUGGUGUGUGUGGGUCUUGGGGUCCCGGUGAUUGUAGGCAAGCGUGUUAACAGGGGUGACGCAGACAGGUAGCUGCAGUGCGCCGAUGGUUGUGCGUAUUUAAGGUUGUGGCCCGUCCCUCAGGUAAAUCCGGGGGGCAUGUGGGUGAGAACUGAUGAGGGUGACACGAUAGUGUUGUCUUGUGGUGAUCCUAUGCUGCCGAGAAAAGCCUCGACGUGAGGGCAUGACGCGCCCGUACCCUAAACCGACUCAGGUGGUCAGGUAGAGUAUACCGAGGCGUUCGAGUGAAUCGUGGUUAAGGAACUCGGCAAAAUUCCUCCGUAACUUCGGGAUAAGGAGGACCCCGUGACUUCCCCGCACCGUGCGUGUGGGUGGGGUUGUGGGGUCGCAGAGAAUAGGGAGAAGCGACUGUUUAUCAAAAACACAGGUGCGUGCGAAGCCGUAAGGCGAUGUAUACGCACUGACGCCUGCCCGGUGCUGGAAGGUUAAGAGGAACCGUCAACACCCACUUGUGGGUGUGAAGCGGUGAAUUUAAGCCCCAGUAAACGGCGGUGGUAACUAUAACCAUCCUAAGGUAGCGAAAUUCCUUGUCGGGUAAGUUCCGACCUGCACGAAUGGCGUAACGACUUCUCCGCUGUCUCAACCGCGAACUCGGUGAAAUUGCAGUACGAGUAAAGAUGCUCGUUUCGCGCAGAAGGACGGAAAGACCCCGGGACCUUUACUAUAGCUUGGUAUUGGUGUUCGCUUGGACUUGUGUAGGAUAGGUGGGAGACUGUGAAGCUGCCGCGCCAGCGGUGGUGGAGUCGUCGUUGAAAUACCAUUCUGGUUCAAGCGGUCACCUUAACCU
rnacentral:rRNA from 1 species